GACGAACGCUGGCGGCGUGCCUAAUACAUGCAAGUCGAACGAGAGCGACCGGUGCUUGCACUGGUCAAUCUAGUGGCGAACGGGUGAGUAACACGUGGGUAACCUGCCCAUCAGAGGGGGAUAACAUUCGGAAACGGAUGCUAAAACCGCAUAGGUUCUUUAGUCGCAUGACUGAAGAAGGAAAAGAGGCUUCGGCUUCUGCUGAUGGAUGGACCCGCGGUGCAUUAGCUAGUUGGUGAGGUAACGGCUCACCAAGGCGAUGAUGCAUAGCCGACCUGAGAGGGUGAUCGGCCACAUUGGGACUGAGACACGGCCCAAACUCCUACGGGAGGCAGCAGUAGGGAAUCUUCCGCAAUGGACGCAAGUCUGACGGAGCAACGCCGCGUGAGUGAAGAAGGAUUUCGGUUCGUAAAACUCUGUUGUUAGAGAAGAACAGCGCAUAGA
rnacentral:rRNA from 1 species